AGAGUUUGAUCAUGGCUCAGGACGAACGCUGGCGGCGUGCUUAACACAUGCAAGUCGAACGGGCUGAGAUAGCUUGCUAUCAAGGCUAGUGGCAAACGGGUGAGUAACGCGUAGGCAACCUGCCCAUGAGAUGGGGACAACAUUCCGAAAGGGAUGCUAAUACCGAAUGAUGUUACGGAGUCGCAUGACUCUGUAACCAAAGGCUGAGCAAUCGGUCACUCAUGGAUGGGCCUGCGUCUGAUUAGCUAGUUGGUGGGGUAACGGCCCACCAAGGCGACGAUCAGUAGCCGGUCUGAGAGGAUGAACGGCCACAUUGGGACUGAGACACGGCCCAGACUCCUACGGGAGGCAGCAGUGGGGAAGCUGCGGCAAUGGGCCACACGCCUGACGGAGCAACGCCGCGUGAGUGAAGAAGGUCUUCGGAUCGUAAAGCUCUGUUGAGAGGGACGAGAGAUUACUUCAGGAAAUGGGAGUAAGAGGACGGUACCUUUCGAGGAAGCCACGGCUAACUACGUGCCAGCAGCCGCGGUAAUACGUAGUGGCGAGCGUUGUCCGGAAUUAUUGGCGUAAAGGGAGCGCAGUGGGACUUCAAGUCAGUCUUAAAAGUGCGGGGCUCAACCCCGUGAUGGGAUUGAACUGUAGUUCUUGAGUGCAGGAGAGGAAAGCGGAUUCCUAGUGUAGCCGGUGAAAUGCGUAGAUAUUAGGAGGAMMACCAGUGGCGAAGGCGGCUUUCUGGACUGUAACUGACACUGAGGCUCGAAAGCGUGGGGAGCGAMMAGGAUUAGAUACCYUGGUAGUCMMSSSYRWMRAYGAUGMWWGCUAGGUGUAGGAGGUAUCGACCCCUUCUGUGCCGGAGUUAACGCAAUAAGCAUUCCGCCUGGGGAGUACGGUCGCAAGACUGAAACUCAAAGGAAUUGACGGGGGCCCGCACAAGCGGUGGAGUAUGUGGUUUAAUUCGACGCAACGCGAAGAACCUUACCAGGUCUUGACAUUGAUUGAAAGCCCUAGAGAUAGGGUCCUCCCUUCGGGGACAUGAAAACAGGUGGUGCAUGGCUGUCGUCAGCUCGUGUCGUGAGGUGUUGGGUUAAGUCCCGCAACGAGCGCGAGCGCGUGUCCUGUGCUACCAUCAUUAAGUUGGGGACUCACAGGAGACUGCCGCGGACAACGCGGAGGAAGGCGGGGAUGACGUCAAGUCAUCAUGCCCCUUAUGACCUGGGCUACACACGUACUACAAUGGGGCAUACAGAGGGCAGCGAAGCCGCGAGGCGGAGCGAAUCCCAGAAAAUGCCUCCCAGUUCGGAUUGCAGGCUGCAACUCGCCUGCAUGAAGUCGGAAUCGCUAGUAAUCGCAGGUCAGCAUACUGCGGUGAAUACGUUCCCGGGCCUUGUACACACCGCCCGUCACACCACGGAAGUCUUUCACACCCGAAGCCGGUGGGCUAACCGCAAGGAUGCAGCCGUCUAAGGUGGGGGCGAUGACUGGGGUGAAGUCGUAACAAGGUAACCGUA
rnacentral:rRNA from 1 species